rnacentral:rRNA from 1 species
UAGGGAAUCUUCCGCAAUGGACGCAAGUCUGACGGAGCAACGCCGCGGGAGUGAAGAAGGAUUUCGGUUCGUAAAACUCUGUUGUUAGAGAAGAACAGCGCAUAGAGUAACUGUUAUGCGUGUGACGGUAUCUAACCAGAAAGCCACGGCUAACUACGUGCCAGCAGCCGCGGUAAUACGUAGGUGGCAAGCGUUGUCCGGAUUUAUUGGGCGUAAAGCGAGCGCAGGCGGUCAAUUAAGUCUGAUGUGAAAGCCCCCGGCUCAACCGGGGAGGGUCAUUGGAAACUGGUUGACUUGAGUGCAGAAGAGGAGAGUGGAAUUCCAUGUGUAGCGGUGAAAUGCGUAGAUAUAUGGAGGAACACCAGUGGCGAAGGCGACUCUCUGGUCUGUAACUGACGCUGAGGUUCGAAAGCGUGGGUAGCAAACAGG